rnacentral:misc_RNA from 1 species
GAUGAAGAACGCAGCGAAAUGCGAUACGUAAUGUGAAUUUCAGAAUUCCGUGAAUCAUCGAAUCUUUGAACGCACAUUGCGCCCGCUGGUACUCCGGCGGGCACGCCUGUCCGAGCGUCAUUUCAACCCUCAAGCCCUCCUUCGGGAUGGGCCUGGUGUUGGGGCUCGGCCGCCAUCUCCGGCGGCCGUCCCCUAAAUACAGUGGCGGUCACGUCGCGACUCCUUUGCGUAGUAGAAACACCUCGCUCCGGAUAGCAACGCGGUCCACGCCGUAAAACCCCCAAUUUUCAAUGGUUGACCUCGGAUCAGGUGGGAAUACCCGCUGAACUUAAGCAUAUCAAUAAGCGGAGGA